UCUUCAGUAGUAUAGUGGUCAGUAUUUCCGCUUGUCAUCGCUUAGCGACAACUCGCGGGAGACCGGGGUUCAAUUCCCCGCUGGAGAGC
rnacentral:tRNA from 1 species